UGGGGAAUCUUGGACAAUGGGGGCAACCCUGAUCCAGCCAUGCCGCGUGAGUGAUGAAGGCCUUAGGGUCGUAAAGCUCUUUCGCCUGUGAAGAUAAUGACGGUAGCAGGUAAAGAAACCCCGGCUAACUCCGUGCCAGCAGCCGCGGUAAUACGGAGGGGGUUAGCGUUGUUCGGAAUUACUGGGCGUAAAGCGCACGUAGGCGGACCAGAAAGUUGGGGGUGAAAUCCCGGGGGCUCAACCCCGGAACUGCCUCCAAAACUAUUGGUCUAGAGUUCGAGAGAGGUGAGUGGAAUUCCAAGUGUAGAGGUGAAAUUCGUAGAUAUUUGGAGGAACACCAGUGGCGAAGGCGGCUCACUGGCUCGAUACUGACGCUGAGGUGCGAAAGUGUGGGGAGCAAACAGGAUUAGAUACCCUGGUAGUCCACGCCGUAAAACGAUGAGUGCUAGAUGUUGGGAUUUUCGGAUUUCAGUGUCGCAGCUAACGCAUUAAGCACUCCGCCUGGGGGAGUACGGCCGCAAGGUUAAAACUCAAAAUG
rnacentral:rRNA from 1 species